GCUCCAGUGCUCUAGUGGUAAGAGCGUCCGCCUCGAAUGCGGGAGGCCGUGUGUUCGAUCCCCGGCCGAGUCA